rnacentral:lncRNA from 1 species
AGGGAGAUUGCGCGAAGAUGGGAAGACACGGGGGCCAGGAAAAACCAUCCUUCAUGAGCUUGACAGCCCUGGGAGCCGACACAGGGGCUUACUGAACGGGACUAAAGUUUGUUCCCAGGGCCUUGACCUUGGCUACAGCAAGUCUACUUCCCUAUACACACCUUGGUUCUUCAUUUCUGUCCAUCUCUCUGGGAUCAGAAAGCGGGAUCAUGUCUCUAAGACAGUGAAAAGGGAGAGGAAGUUGCAGCAGGCAGCUAGGCUCAAGCAGAUGCAGACUCAAAGCUCGGUGCAUUCACUUUCAUCCUGGGUGGACCCUCCCUGA